UGUGUUAGAUUAGGUAGAGUACACGAUAUUAUGAAUGAUGUUUGGUUAAGUCGAGUACCUGUUACUAUGGAUGGUGUCGGGUAUUUAGCAGGUCCACCAAAGUUAGGCCUCAUCGCGGGGUAUGCUUCAGUGUCCUAAAGGUUUUAGUGGGGUGGUUAUAAUGGGUAUUCAGCUUAGGUCUAAUACCUAUCUAAUGUAUAAGCCCCCUAAGCCUUUUGGAAAGUGGUGAACA
rnacentral:lncRNA from 1 species